rnacentral:rRNA from 1 species
UACGGGGGAGCAAGCGUUGUUCGGAUUUACUGGGCGUAAAGAGCGUGUAGGCGGCCAGGUAGGUCUGCUGUGAAAACUCGAGGCUCAACCUCGAGACGUCGGCGGAAACCAUCUGGCUAGAGUCCGGAAGAGGAGAGUGGAAGUUCCGUGGUGUAGCGGUGAAAUGCGCAGAUAUCAGGAAGAACACCCGUGGCGAAGGCGGCUCUCUGGGACGGUACUGACGCUGAGACGCGAAAGCGUGGGGAGCGAACAGG